rnacentral:rRNA from 1 species
UACGUAGGGUGCAAGCAUUAAUCGGAAUGAUUGGGCGUAAAGGGCGCGUAGGCGGAAUUAUAAGUCAGAUGUGAAAUUCCAAAGCUCAACUUUGGAGCUGCAUUUGAGACUGUAAAUCUAAGAGGAGUGUCGGAGGAAGCGGAAUUCCACGUGUAGCGGUGAAAUGCGUAGAUAUGUGGAAGAACACCUGUGGCGAAAGCGGCUUUCUAGAUACAACCUGACGCUGAGGCGCGAGAGCAAGGGGAGCAAACAGG